rnacentral:rRNA from 1 species
AUUGAACGCUGGCGGCAUGCUUUACACAUGCAAGUCGAACGGUAACAGGCCUUCGGGCGCUGACGAGUGGCGAACGGGUGAGUAAUGCAUCGGAACGUGCCCAGUCGUGGGGGAUAACUAUCCGAAAGGAUAGCUAAUACCGCAUACGAUCUGCGGAUGAAAGCGGGGGACCUUCGGGCCUCGCGCGAUUGGAGCGGCCGAUGUCAGAUUAGGUAGUUGGUGGGGCAAAGGCUCACCAAGCCAACGAUCUGUAGCUGGUCUGCGAGGACGACCAGCCACACUGGGACUGAGACGCGGCCCAGACUCCUACGGGAGGCAGCAGUGGGGAAUUUUGGACAAUGGGCGCAAGCCUAAUCCAGCAAUGCCGCGUGCAGGAAGAAGGCCUUCGGGUUGUAAACUGCUUUUGUACGGAACGAAACGGCUCUGGUUAAUACCCGGGGCUAAUGACGGUACCGUAAGAAUAAGCACCGGCUAACUACGUGCCAGCCGCCGCGGUAAGAC